GCUUACGUUCACACGUCAUUUCUAAUAAACUAUUUUCGCCGGUAUGAGUUCUUUGAACAUUCGCGGAUUUUUCUUGUUGAUGAUCCCUCUCUUCGUCGCAGGUGCUACGAAUGACCGCGAGAAGGUGAAGGCGACAAAGGGAGAAAGUUUCGUCCUCUUUGAAAUUCCUGGAUUUGCGGAUGUUUCUAAAGUGACUGUGCAAAGACCGUGUGAAAACGGGUCUCUCGUGUUCCGAUACUGCUCGCCUGAUGAAGAGAAGAAGGGCUGCAAGUCUUCUGGGUCAGACAAAUACCAAGUUCACAACGGGACUGUCAUUGUUGCUAAUGCCAGUUUCAGUGACCAAGGAUGCUACACUGUCAAAGUGAUCGGGAACUCCGAUAUUACUCAAUCUUUAACAGUAGUUGUCAACGAACCCCAGUACAGUACCGUCAGCCCAGAAUCACAGUACAGUACCGUCAGCCCAGAAUCACAGUACAGUACCAUCAGCCCAGAAUCACAGUACAGUACCGUCAGCCCAGAAUCACAGUACAGUACCAUCAGCCCAGAAUCACAGUACAGUACCGUCAGCCCAGAAUCACCGCACCCAACAUCCCCCACACCCACUGAGGGAGGUUUAGAUAAACCAGUCAUUGCAGCAGUUGUGUUGAUUGCGAUUGGGUUUGCGAUUUGGUUUGGGCUAGUCAUUCAUUGCUGCAUAUGUAAAAAGAAAAAGAGCCAGAAGAAGUCUGAUUCUCAGCAGGACGCUACUAUUCAAGAUGGAGGACAAGGCGCCUAGCCAGCAGAGAAAGACCAACUUUUAAUGAAGGAUUUGAAUCUCAGUUCAAUCAAGGAAAACAAAGAGAAGCCUACAAGACUGUGAAAGGACAUUGGACCCCUUCACCACCCUGCCUAAUCACCAACUCUUCUCUUGGCUCUCAACGAAGGCGGUCGCAUUUUCUCACCCUCUCCCUCCCCCUCCCCUUACCUUCCCUGCUUAGCUCCUCUCGUUACGUCUACUGUCUUGUACUUUGAGAGACUCUCUCAGCACUGCUCUCCAAACUAAGACAUCAUGGAUUUGAUCAACUGGUCUCUCAACGCAAUUGACACCAUCUUCUCGACGAGAAGCUUGGGUUCGGGGGAACCUGACUGCCCUGCCGGAACGUUCGCAGCUGGCUACACGAUGGACACGGAGAGGUGGUGGGUCGUGUGUCUGGCGGCUCUUUCCGUGGAGGACAUGGAAGAUAUCUACCUAUUCGGUACCAUGAUAACAGGUCUUCUGCUGAUUGGAUUAGGCAUUGCCCUGGUUUAUCGAGGAAUUAAGAAGACUGUGACAGCUGUCCAAAGCCUCACAAGGCUGCCCGUCAUGAUUGAAGCAGUGGGCAGAGCUGUCUGCACUCGGGUCUAUGAACCAAAAUACGGAUAACAUCAUGGAGGAGCUCACAGCUUUGCAAAGGCAAAUGGAUCGUUUCAGAGACCAAAAUGGAGCGGAAGAAUAGCCGUGUAAAUCAGAAGUGGCUACUCGCCUCAAGACCAAACAAUCCCAAUCUUAUCUGUUUCGGCCGCCCUCAACCAGCACUGGCCUUGGCCAAGGCCGCUGUUGGAACAACAA